GUGGGGAAUAUUGCACAAUGGGGGAAACCCUGAUGCAGCGACGCCGCGUGAAGGAUGAAGUAUUUCGGUAUGUAAACUUCUAUCAGCAGGGAAGAAAAUGACGGUACCUGACUAAGAAGCCCCGGCUAACUACGUGCCAGCAGCCGCGGUAAUACGUAGGGGGCAAGCGUUAUCCGGAUUUACUGGGUGUAAAGGGAGCGUAGACGGCAUUGCAAGUCUGGAGUGAAAACCCGGGGCUUAACCCCGGGAUUGCUUUGGAAACUGUGGAGCUAGAGUACCGGAGAGGCAAGUGGAAUUCCUAGUGUAGCGGUGAAAUGCGUAGAUAUUAGGAGGAACACCAGUGGCGAAGGCGGCUUGCUGGACGGUAACUGACGUUGAGGCUCGAAAGCGUGGGGAGCAAACAGGA
rnacentral:rRNA from 1 species